rnacentral:rRNA from 1 species
UCAAGCCCGUAAGGGCGCGGGGGGGAUGCCUAGGCGUCAUCAGCGAUUCGAGCGUGGAAGGCCGCGAUAGGUCCGGGGGAGCUGCUUAACGAGCGUCGAUCCCGGAAUCCUCGAUGAAGACCCGGGGAACUGAAACAUCUCAGUACCCGGAGGAAAGGAAAUCAACCGAGACUCCCUCAGUAGCGGCGAGCGAACGGGGACGAGCCCAAACCGGGCGGGACACCGCCCGGGGUCGUGGGAUCGAAGACGUGGGAUGGGUCGAAGCGAGCCGAAGCCGUCUGGAAAGGCGCGCCGCAGCGGGUGAAAGCCCCUUGGGCGAAGCGACGACCCCCCUAUUCGACACCCAAGUAGGGUCGGGCACGGGAAACCCGGCCUGAAUUCGCGGGGACCAUCCCGCAAGGCUAAGUACUCGAUGACGACCGAUAGCGAACCCAGUAGGGCGACCGAAAGGUGGGAAGAACCCCGAUUAGGGGAGGAGACUGAACCUGAAACCCCGCGCCCACAAGCGGUGGGAGGACGUUGGCGCAAGCCAGUCUGACCGCGUGCCUUUUGCAUAAUGAUCCGGCGAGUUGUCGCGUCCGGCCAGGUUAACCCCUUCAGGGGGGGAGCCGCAGGGAAACCGAGUCUGAAAUGGGCGAGGGAGUCGGGCGUGACAGACGCGAAACCAGGUGAACUACCCAUGGGCAGGUUGAAGCGGCCCUAACCGGCCGUGGAGGACCGAACCCACCAGUGUUGAAAAACUGGGGGACGACCCGUGGGGAGGAGUGAAAGUCUAAUCAAACCUGGAGAUAGCUCGUUCUCUCCGAAAUGGCUUUAGGGCCAGCCUCGGGACAUAACGCGCGGGGGUAGAGCGACGGAAUCCGCUUGGGGGCCUUCCCGGCUACCCAUCGGAACCCAACUCCGAAUACCGCGCGUCGGACCCCGGGAGUCAGAGCGUGGGAGAGAAGUUUCACGCUCGAGAGGGAAACAACCCAGACCGCCGACCAAGGCCCCCAAGACGACGCUCAGUGGCAAAGGAAGUGGGAUCGCGGUGACAGCCGGGAUGUUGGCUUAGAAGCAGCCACCAUUUCAAAAGUGCGUAACAGCUUACCGGUCGAGCCAUCCCGCGCCGAAAAUGACGGGGACUCAAGCGUCGCGCCGCAGUCGCGGAUUCUUUCGAGAAUGGUAGGAGAGCGUCGGCGCCGGCGUUGAAGCGGCACGGAAACGAGCCGUGGAGCGGCGUCGAGUGAGCAUGCCGGAACGAGUAACGACAAGACGGGUGGGAAGCCCGUCCGCCGAAAGCACAAGGUUUCCUGGGGAAGGUCAAUCCGCCCAGGGUCAGCCGGGACCUAAGACGAGGCCCAAGGGCGUAGUCGAUGGACAGGCGGUUAAUAUUCCGCCGCCCGCGCGGGAAGGUUGAACCAGUGGGGGACGCCGGUGUGAAAAAGGGUCGGGGCGCUGAACGCCCCCGUGCCGCAAGGCCGACGGCGCUUGAUCCGGAAGCCCUUGACACAUUGGCCGCGAAAAGCCCAUUGGGGACGACCCGCCGGCCCGUACCGCAAUCCGACACAGGUGUGCCAGGUGAGGAUCCGAAGGCGUUCGGGAGAACCCUCGUGAAGGAACUCGGCAAAAUGGCCCCGUACCCUCGGUAUAAGGGGCGCCCUCCCGCAAGGGGGGGCCGCAGAGAAUCGGCUCUAGCGACUGUUUAUCAAAAACACAGGACUCCGCCAACUCGCAAGAGGACGUAUGGAGUCUGACGCCUGCUCGGUGUCGGUAGGUUGAGGAAGCCAGUCAGCGCGAGCGAAGCCGGCGACCGAAGCCCCGAUAAACGGCGGCCGUAACUAUGACGGUCCUAAGGUAGCGAAAUUCCUUGUCGGGUAAGUUCCGACCUGCACGAAUG